rnacentral:lncRNA from 13 species
AUGGAGGGAAGGCUCGGCCCCGCCCCCGCAGCGCUGCUCGCGCCCCGCCCCCUCCCCUCCCCCCGCGCGCCAGUUCGCUGGCGCGCGCUCGCCCCUCCCCCGCACGCCGCCUGCUCCCUCCUCCCGGCCGCCUCGCGCCGUGUGUGUACAAACACAAAAGACACGCUGAGGGGCCUCCUGCUCCCGCCGAAACUGCCGCCCGCCCCCGGCCAACCCCUGCCCCCGGCCCUACACUGCCAUCCCGCUCCGAAGCUAGCAAAUCGGAGCCUGGAGUCCCGCGCCCGCUGUCGGACGGGGCCGCUGCGGCAUCAGGAGGGGCGGACCGACGGCCUCCUUCCCGCCUGCGCGACCAGCCAAGUGCGGCAGGGUCCUGCGGGUCCAGCCCGAGUCCACCACAGACAACUUGAUGGCUCAGAAUCCUGCCUGACUCGGGCGGGCCGCCUGCCUGCUGGGCAGCCCCUCGCCAGUGCCUGCCUCCGGGAUCUGGGGACUGGGCUCGCUCUCCUCUCGGGCCCUGGCGCCCGACGCAAGAUGGCUGUGUCGCCUCGGCCUCUAAACAAUGUGUGGAGCGCGCAGCUCCUGAACCGGGGCCCGGCGGCCUGUCCUGCCCGCCCCUGGGGGCCGUGUGAUCUGUUUUCGGAAACCAAAAUAUUUAUUGUUGGAUUUAUCCAGGAAGGCUGUUCUACAUCAGUUAAAUCCAUCAUAUCUUCAAGAAAUAUUAAAUGA